GGGCGUAGCUCAGUGGUUAGAGCACCAGCCUCCCAUGCUGGGGGUCGUGGGUUCGAAUCCCAUCGCCC
rnacentral:tRNA from 1 species